rnacentral:rRNA from 1 species
GUCUUUUUGAAUUUAAUUUAAAGUCUGAUCUGCCCACUGAUAAUUUAUAUAUAUUAAAUGGCCGCAGUAUUUUAACUGUGCAAAGGUAGCAUAAUCAUUAGUUUUUUAAUUGAGGGCUGGAAUGAAUGAUUGGACGAGAUAUAAACUGUCUCAUUAGAAAUUAUUUAGAAUUUUAUUUUUUAGUUAAAAAGCUAAAAUUUUUUUAAAAGACGAGAAGACCCUAUAGAUCUUUAUAUUAAUUGUAUAAUUUGUUUUUUAGAUAGCUUAGAUAAUUAUGUUUAUUAAUAUUUUGUUGGGGUGACAUUGAAAUUUAUUAAACUUUCAAGUGUAAUUAAACAUUUAUAAAUGAUUAGAUUUGAUCCUAUAUUACGGAUAUAAAAAUUAAGUUACCUUAGGGAUAACAGCGUAAUUAUUUCGGAGAGUUCAUAUUGAUGAAAUAGAUUGCGACCUCGAUGUUGGAUUAAGAUUAAUAAUAGGGGCAGUUUCUUAUUAUAUUAAGUCUGUUCGACUUUUAAAUUCUU